rnacentral:rRNA from 1 species
CAGGCCUAACACAUGCAAGUCGAGCGGACUUAUCCUUCGGGAUAGGUUAGCGGCGGACGGGUGAGUAACACGUAGGCAACCUGCCUGUAAGAUCGGGAUAACUACCGGAAACGGUAGCUAAGACCGGAUAGCUGGUUUCUCCGCAUGGGGGAAUCAUGAAACACGGGGCAACCUGUGGCUUACGGAUGGGCCUGCGGCGCAUUAGCUAGUUGGUGGGGUAACGGCCCACCAAGGCGACGAUGCGUAGCCGACCUGAGAGGGUGAUCGGCCACACUGGGACUGAGACACGGCCCAGACUCCUACGGGAGGCAGCAGUAGGGAAUCUUCCGCAACGGGCGCAAGCCUGACGGAGCAACGCCGCGUGAGUGAUGAAGGUUUUCGGAUCGUAAAGCUCUGUUGCCAAGGAAGAACGCCUCGGAGAGUAACUGCUCUGAGGGUGACGGUACUUGAGAAGAAAGCCCCGGCUAACUACGUGCCAGCAGCCGCGGUAAUACGUAGGGGGCAAGCGUUGUCCGGAAUUAUUGGGCGUAAAGCGCGCGCAGGCGGUCUUUUAAGUUUGGUGUUUAAGCCCGGGGCUCAACCCCGGUUCGCACUGAAAACUGGGAGACUUGAGUGCAGGAGAGGAAAGCGGAAUUCCACGUGUAGCGGUGAAAUGCGUAGAGAUGUGGAGGAACACCAGUGGCGAAGGCGGCUUUCUGGACUGUAACUGACGCUGAGGCGCGAAAGCGUGGGGAGCAAACAGGAUUAGAU